GGAAGGAUCAUUUUUGAUACCAAAAACAAGCUCGGUGGGCUGUUGUGGGGGUGCUUUUGGUCUGUCUUGAGUCUGGUUGGGUUUGUCUUGAGUCUGGCUUGGGUCUUUCCCGAGUCCUGCCCGAGUCUUUCCCGACCCCAGGUCCAACCCCAAGUCCCACUCAGUCCACCUGUAAACACACCAACACUAAAACACCGUCUGUCUGACUCUGAUAACACACAAUCAAACAACUUUCAACAACGGAUCUCUAGGCUCUUGCAUCGAUGAAGAACGUGGCAAAAUGCGAAAAGUAAUGUGAAUUGCAGAAUUCCCGUGAGUCAUCAAAUUUUUGAACGCACCUGGCACUCUUUGGCUAUCCAAAGAGUAUACCUGUUUGAGCGUCGCUUCAACCAUUUCAAGGCAACUUGAAGAAUAUGAGCAGUACGUCUAGUCUGCUUGAAAUGAAUGGACCGAGUACGAGGUCUAAACCAGUUGAAAGGUUGGUAAGGAAUCGUACUUGGUCAACGUGGUGCUGGUACUGGUAGGUCAGACUUGCUGGGUCAUUCUCAGUCGGUCAUCCCACUGAACAUUCUCAGUCGGUCUUCCCACUGAAGCCACACCCCACCCAACAUCGACCUCAAAUCAGGCAGGAUUACCCGCUGAAUUUAAGCAUAUAAAUAAGCGGAGGAAAAGAAACUAACAAGGAUUCCCUUAGUAACGGCGAGUGAAGCGGGAAGAGCCCAAUUUUAAAAUCUACCUGGCUCCCAGGUCGAAUUGUAGUUUGUAGAAAAGCGGCAGAGUCAGUGACCAGGUCCAAGUUCCUUGGAACAGGGCAUCGUAGAGGGUGAGAAUCCCGUUUACGACCUGGCUCACUGGCCGUAUUGUCCUUUUUCAAAGAGUCGGGCUGUUUGGGAUUGCAGCUCAAAAUGGGUGGUAUGUGUCAUCCAAGGCUAAAUAUUGGCAAGAGACCGAUAGCGAAAAAGUACCGUGAGGGAAAGAUGAAAAGAACUCUAAACAGAGAGUGAAAAGUGCGUGAAAUUGUUGAAAGGGAAACGUUUGGAAACUAGUCAUGGGUCCGUUGUAUCGUUGCCUUGAGUUGGGAGGCUGGUUGGGUUGAUGCUUGCACACCCCAGUCAGUUAUGUCAGCUCAGGUACCGUGUUGGCGGAUUCCGGUCAACAUCAGUUGUCUCUUUUUCUCAGGUGUCGUCAAGGUAGCUUUGUUGCCUCGGCAAUAAAGAACUUAUAGGGCGGCAUCAUGGUUGAGGGGGUGACUGAGGUCUGCAGGCUUUGGGAAUUUAAGCCAGGCUGUCUCUCAUAGAGUUUAAAAUGAGUCGAGCUGGUCGUGCUUGCACGCCCUUGGUUGCCUGUCUUUGACUUGUGACCCUGGGUGGGUAGUACGUCCUCGCUGGGUUCAUGGGCUGUCUGGUGCUCAACGCCUUUGGUUGUUGACAAAAUGGUUCCAAAUGACCCGUCUUGAAACACGGACCAAGGAGUCCAACAUGAAUGCGAGUGUUCGGGUUGCUAAACCCGUACGCGUAAUGAAAGUGAUCAGUGGGAACCGCAAGGUGCACCAUAGGCCGAUCUUGAUACCUCUGGUAAACAGAUUUGAGUCGGAGCAUUCAUGUUGGGACCCGAAAGAUGGUGAACUAUGCCUGAGUAGAAUGAAGCCAGAGGAAACUCUGGUGGAGGUUCGUAGAGGUUCUGACGUGCAAAUCGAUCUUCAAACUUGGGUAUAGGGGCGAAAGACUAAUCGAACCAUCUAGUAGCUGGUUCCUGC
rnacentral:misc_RNA from 1 species